AAAUAUCAAAAUUCAUAGUAGAGUACAAAAGUUUCCAACCAAACACACCCUAGUUAAGAUGUAUCAAAGUUUUACACACUCAUCAUAGUAUGCUUUACCGGAUUAAGUUGGGAUUCUUGGAAAAGAGUAACCAAAACCAGUGGUUGCAGGAAAACAACGCAAGACAAUGAAAGUUAGACCAAAAGUGCAGAGAUUUAAAACCUUAAAACGUUGUCAAAACAUGAACUAAUGCCACUAAAUAAGUGACAAAUUUGUAA